AACAAAGGGUGACCCAGAGUUGGGACAGGGUCAUUGUUCGCAUCUCUGUGCAAAACCAGCUUCCCCUGCCUCCCCCAGCAGCUACUGGAGUGGAAGACCCAGCUUCCUUGCCACUGAUAUUCUCAGGAGCCCCACCAUCGGCAGAAGAAACAAAAACGUAGCUGUUAUGUAGUGACCUGGAGGACAGAUGGGUUGCUGAGCAUCUUUAGGAAUCAUAGAAAUAGUGGGAAAGAAGGGGAAAUCUUUCUGGGGAAAGACAACGUUGACAUUCCUUCUUCAAGAGAUGGCAUCUAUAUUCCCUCCCCUUGACUCUGGGCUGAACUUUGAAACUGCAGAAGUGAUAUGACUUCCAGGACUUUACGAUUCAAUUUGAUAUGCAUUAUCUCCUCUUGAAUAAAAUCUCCAGGACAUUUUGCAUCACUCCCAUGGACCUCCUGUUGAGGAUUUCUUGAAUGAUAAACUCAAAGUCUCAGGCUGUUGAUUUUUGAAAUCAUGUUAAUUCAUACAAUUUCCAAGUGAUUCAAGUUCAGUCUUCUUUAAAAUCAUAGCUCACCUUUUAAGUACAUACAGCCUUGCAGUACAUACAGGUGGAUUCAAUUCAGAAAGUCC
rnacentral:lncRNA from 1 species